GUUAUAUGUAAAAAUUAAAUUUUACAAUGUAUGUAAUGUAAUGUCAUUUAAGCAUGGGAUUUGAAAUUUCUAUGUUAAGUAUAAUAAAUAUUUUUUUAAAGUUUAAAAAGAAAUUAAUUAAAAUUUCUCUCGAGGACUAGAAAAUAGUCAUUCUGAGACUAUACGUCUUUUGUCUUUGGGUAUAUCACACGUAGGCCCUAUUAAUUCAUGAAUUUAUACCUCUAUUGAUGUAACGACAUUUUAACCAAACUCUUGGUAGGUAGGAAUCUUAUACCUCUGUUGUUGUAAGGACAUUUUAACCUAACAGUAGUCUAUACUAUACUCUUGUUGAUAUAAGGACAUUUUAACUUUUGAUUCUAUACUCUUGUUGAUGUUAGGACAUUUUAACUUUUGAUUCUAUACUCUUGUUGAUGUUAGGACAUUUUAACUUUUGAUUCUAUACUCUUGUUGAUGUUAGGACAUUUUAACUUUGAUUCUAUAUUCAUGUUGAUGUUAGGACAUUUUAACUUUGAUUCUAUACUCAUGUUGAUGUUAGGACAUUUUAACUUUGAUUCUAUACUCAUGUUGAUGUUAGGACAUUUUAACCGGGCUAAAAGCCAAAACAAACAAUAUUGUAUACAUUUUUGUGUUGUAUGUUUGCUGUUGCUGUUAUCACUUCCCAUACACCAGCCCAAGGCAUUAUCUGUGGUACAUCUUGAUCAUCUAACUAGAAAGUUUUGAGACUGGCCUAUGCACUACUGACACGAAGAAAAUGCUUGAACAUGUUUGCCACUUGCCAGAUAUAAGAAUCUCACGAGACAUUCUCUGACAAGAUAAAAACAAACCAUUUAUCUGCUAACCAUGCACAAACAAAUCCUUAGGACUUAAGAUACCAAUGUAAACUGUCUGUCAAGGAUUUGUAUAGUAACAUUGUACAUAAGAAAUGAAUUGAUUGGUUUAAAAGAAAAAAUCUUCUGGAUCACUGCUGCCAAGUGAUGUUGACAUUGUGUAUAUGUGAUGCUGUUAAGAUGUAGAAUUUUUCCUCUUGGCAAGAGUUCAUAUUAUAGUGUUGUGUAAAAUGUUAGAGUGUGUUAUUAAAGCAACUCAUUAUAA
rnacentral:sRNA from 1 species